AUUGAACGCUGGCGGCAGGCCUAACACAUGCAAGUCGAGCGGAAACGAGUUAUCUGAACCUUCGGGGGACGAUAACGGCGUCGAGCGGCGGACGGGUGAGUAAUGCCUAGGAAAUUGCCCUGAUGUGGGGGAUAACAGUUGGAAACGACUGCUAAUACCGCAUGAUGUCUUCGGACCAAAGAGGAGGACCUUCGGGCUUCUCGCGUCGGGAUGGGCCCAGUUGGGAUUAGCUAGUUGGUGAGGUAAUGGCUCACCAAGGCGACGAUCCCUAGCUGGUUUGAGAGGAUGAUCAGCCACACUGGAACUGAGACACGGUCCAGACUCCUACGGGAGGCAGCAGUGGGGAAUAUUGCACAAUGGGCGCAAGCCUGAUGCAGCCAUGCCGCGUGUGUGAAGAAGGCCUUCGGGUUGUAAAGCACUUUCAGUCGUGAGGAAGGUAGUGUAGUUAAUAGCUGCAUUA
rnacentral:rRNA from 1 species